GUGGGUUUUCUUUAAGUUUUUGACUAGUCCGCAAUUCACAGAAUUGACAUUUUGGCAGAUGAAGAUUGCAACGAGCCUAGACCACACCAUUGCACUCCAGUUCGGGCAACAAGAUGAAACUCUGGCUGGGCGCGGUGGCUCACACCUGUAAUUCCAACACUUUGGGAGGCCAAGGCAGGCAGAUCACCUGAGGUCAGGAGUUCAAGACCAGCCUGGCCAAGAUGAUGAAACCCCAUCUCUACUAAAAUUACAAAAACUUAGCCAGGCAUGGUGGUGCAUGCCUGUAAUCCCAGCUACUCAGGAGGCUGAGGCAGGAGAACCACUUGAACCCAGGAGGCAGAGGUUGCAGUGAGCCAAGAUCGUGCCACUGUACUCCAGCCUGGGCAACAAGAGCGAAACUCCAUCUCAAAAAAGAAAAAAGAAACUCCGUCUCAAAAAGAAGGUGGUUCACACACACACACACACACCCCCAAGAAAGCUCAGGGCUGGAAGGCAGCCAACCUGGCUGUGACCCUCAUCCUGCACACGUGAGCUUGGUGACCAGUAGCUGAUUCUUUAACUCUCUAAGCUUUGGAGUCUGGAUGUGAGGUUUAGAAUUCAUGACAAGAAGCUGGAAGGAUGCCGCCAGUCUGACUCCUGGACUGGUUCUCUUGACAUCUUUGCAAAAGCUGCUGAAAUGUUCUGGUUUCAUUUCAUUCUUUUCUUUGCCAUGAUCUCUUAGAUUUGUUCGUGGCAAUUCUCAUAAGAGUGAAGAAAAUGUUUAAAAUGGCUGUUGGGCUCCCUUUUGUGACACCUUGUGGGGAAGGUGCCCAGGUAUGUAUAGGUGCUGAGCGCACGGCCAGCAUGGUGUCUGUGGCCGGGCCUCCCUCCUGGACAGUGCGGCCACAGCCCCUGAAAGGUAUGUCUUC
rnacentral:lncRNA from 10 species